GACGAACGCUGGCGGCGUGCUUAACACAUGCAAGUCGAACGGAGAGGCCCUGCUUUUGUGGGGUGCUCGAGUGGCGAACGGGUGAGUAACACGUGAGUAACCUGCCCUUGACUUUGGGAUAACUUCAGGAAACUGGGGCUAAUACCGGAUAGGAGCUCCUGCUGCAUGGUGGGGGUUGGAAAGUUUCGGCGGUUGGGGAUGGACUCGCGGCUUAUCAGCUUGUUGGUGGGGUAGUGGCUUACCAAGGCUUUGACGGGUAGCCGGCCUGAGAGGGUGACCGGCCACAUUGGGACUGAGAUACGGCCCAGACUCCUACGGGAGGCAGCAGUGGGGAAUAUUGCACAAUGGGCGGAAGCCUGAUGCAGCAACGCCGCGUGCGGGAUGACGGCCUUCGGGUUGUAAACCGCUUUCGCCUGUGACGAAGCGGGAGUGACGGUAAUGGGUAAAGAAGCACCGGCUAACUACGUG
rnacentral:rRNA from 1 species